rnacentral:ncRNA from 1 species
GAGAUAGAGGUUGCGUGAUUUAUGAGUAGACUGCCGUAUGUACCGUUUCACAGAUGAGGGCAGUCAAAAGGAAAUCAUGCCGAAAGGAUAUACAGGAGCGGCUGUGUGUUACUUGGGCACAAUGUGAAGAACACUGUGACUGUCAUCGGAGACGAUGGGGCGCUAUCA